UACGGGGGGAGCAAGCGUUGUUCGGAAUUACUGGGCGUAAAGCGUGCGCAGGCGGUUGUGCAAGACAGAUGUGAAAUCCCCGGGCUUAACCUGGGAAUUGCAUUUGUGACUGCACGGCUAGAGUGUGUCAGAGGGAGGUAGAAUUCCACGUGUAGCAGUGAAAUGCGUAGAUAUGUGGAGGAAUACCGAUGGCGAAGGCAGCCUCCUGGGAUAACACUGACGCUCAUGCACGAAAGCGUGGGGAGCAAACAGGAUUAG
rnacentral:rRNA from 1 species